UAGAGAAGAGAAGACUUUGACCUUUUUAGGAACAAAAGGAAAGGGUUUUCUUUAUGAGAAGUACUCUUUAGUGAUUAAGUACAAGUGUCUCAUUGUGUUAAUUCUCAAGGUCUGUGCUUAUUAACGUCCAAUUGUUGAUUGAAGGUAUUGUCUGCAAUUAAUGCCCGUCAAUGAUGUUUAAAUGUGAUGAUGAUAUUUCAUCAGAAAAGGUAAUAUUGUUGAUACACUGCAGCCCUGAGAAAUCACCAGAGGGUUAAAUGCCACACGGAGGUCAGCAGUCACAUACAGAUGCUGCUGGGUGCUAUGCCAGACUCUCGCCCAUCAUUCCUGUUUGCUCACUAAGACUUUGCCAGCUCUAUGGAUGUCCAAGGUUGCCCUUAGAUCACUGAAGGAGUUGUUGUACCGUAUGCUGCGCAUCAUCUAGGAGCAGCAGCAGAGCUGUGGUGGUGCUCAGGGGUGGUGGGCCCUCCAGGAUCUGCUGGCCAUCAAGGAGCCUGUGGGGAAUACCAGGCAACCCUCCCAAGAUGCCAGCACCGUUGGUGCAAGCCUAUCAAGCUUCAGAGCUAAAAGGAGCAGCCCUUCCUUUCUGUACAAACAUUUUCCUGGAGAGUUUCUGAUGGUGGAAGAAAGCAAAGCAAGCUGUGCUAGGCGAGUGUCAGCUUGGAAGGAGGAGUCCUCCCCAGAGCAGCUCCCGCCCUGAUGAGGUUCAAGCUGCUCUGGCUCAGGUUGCUGCAGCCUGCAAGAAGCAGCGCCCAUGGAGUGCUGCCAUGUUGCAUGUCGCGGAGCAGGACAGUGCUGGACCAGCUUGGGCAAGAGGAAACAGCAAUUUUUCCUACCUGCCAAUGCGUCUUUGCUUGGUAGAGUGCCUGUGAAUUCAGGAGAGACUCCCUGGUUGACCUUUCAGAAGUCUUGUUCUUUGGAGCACAACAUUCACCACGUAAACUUUGCUGAUGCCCUCUGCAUGACUCAUCCACCCUACCCCACACUGAGAAGGAGUCCUGUGCCACUUCUUGAGGAGUAUCACUUGACUUAUCUUGCCUCACUGGCAUGGGUAGGUAGCCUGUUCCAGCCAGGCAGGGCUCUCCCUUGCUUUUUAGCCAGGCCCAGCCCUUCCUCCAAGUCUUCCAUUCCAAAUGGCCAUGGUCCCUCAGCCCUGACAUGGUGAGAUGCCAUUUUACAUGUACAACUGACACUGAUGUGUGCGAGUGUAUCCCUUAAUACCUUGUGAGCAUUCCUUUGUAAGAUGAAGUUCCUACAAACUCAACAAAGGAGGCAGCUGAGUAGAAGGGAGAGGCCCAGUAAGUCUCUCCUUUCCCUUCAGGUAAAGUCAGCUAUACUAUAUUGAACCCUUGGACAACCUAAAUUAUUAGGUUCCACUGCUGAUGAAACAGUUUGGGAUUUGAUAUUGUUCCAUGUAUCAGGCAGACCGGCAGCAGGCCCAAAUUUCUCCUUGUACAUCCUCAUGGGACUUGCAUCUUUUCCAGGGUUCUCCCUUGUGCGGUUGAUACAGCACAGGGCAUUCUCUGCUUGUGCCAUCUUCCAGGGUGGUGGAAAUGCCUGAUUGCUGCCUCUUUGUGUCCCAUCUGACCUGCCAAAAUCCAAACUGAGCAAAAUGGGAGUAUGGACUUGAACAUCACUGCUGUUCAGGAACACUCUGAAACUGGUGCACGGAAACAUUUGAACUUGCCUCCCUCGCUGAAACUCCACUUAGAGCACACACCUUCCUCUUGUCUGCCUGCUGGCUCCAGCAAGACAGUCACAACCAGCAGAACCACAGCAGAUGAGGCAGAGGUCUAGAGCCGGACUGACAGGAAGGUAGAUGGCAAUGGGGUGAAGGGAAGGAGAGCUGGCGGUGAACAGAAAGAAGGAGAGAAGUUAAUAAGAUUGAUUAUAUCCUGAAUUUGUGAAGUGCAAUGCAGAAAUACAGUGUAGAAACUUAUAUGGUAGUUUAACUUUGAAAUUUCUCUUUCCACUUUUAUUGGGUGAAAACGUAACAAGAAUAUAUCCAAUUGAAGGUCUGCAAGGAGUCGGUGGGGGGUGGAGUAAGGUCACUGGAGCUACAUCCAUUCAGUUCCAGCAGAAAAAGGGACCAGAGGCACGGGUUUGAGUUCAGCCACAGCAGUAAAAAUCAGAGUAGUUCAGCUGAAGUGAGACAAGGGCAGAGCAGUCCUGUAGGGGUCUAGUAUUACAUGUUUACACUGUGCAAUUCAACAGGGUGAGCCACCAAUUAUCUGCAUCAAAAUGACCACCCAGAGGCCCAAUGUAUUUGGCCUCAUCUGUCACUGAACUGUCCCCUGUCAUGCCUCAGUUAAGAGCUGACAAUGCCAGCUAAGAUUAUCCAUAUCGCCUGCAGUGCAGGGUGUUUCACCACCUCAUUUUCCUCAUAAGGAGCCCAAAGAAAAGUCAGGUUUGUUCAGCACAGGAUGUAUUUGGGGAGGAUUCAGGUAGGCCAGAUGGCAAUGUCAGUGAUGGAUGGUACAGCUACCGUAGGGCUAUGCCUGAAUAUCUGAACUGGGAGAGACGAGCUGUGCUGUACCUCUUUGAAAUACUGACUAUUGCAGCAGUUGCUUUACACUGUUCAAUUGGCUGUGUAAUUGCUUUCACAAAUUAAACAAAAACAAUGGUGAAAAUAUGUAAAACGUCACCUGAACUGAAUUGUGGUUCAG